rnacentral:rRNA from 1 species
GUUAAGUUGCAGGGUAUAGACCCGAAACCCGGUGAUCUAGCCAUGGGCAGGUUGAAGGUUGGGUAACACUAACUGGAGGACCGAACCGACUAAUGUUGAAAAAUUAGCGGAUGACCUGUGGCUGGGGGUGAAAGGCCAAUCAAACCGGGAGAUAGCUGGUUCUCCCCGAAAGCUAUUUAGGUAGCGCCUCGUGAAUUCAUCUCCGGGGGUAGAGCACUGUUUCGGCUAGGGGGCCAUCCCGGCUUACCAACCCGAUGCAAACUGCGAAUACCGGAGAAUGUUAUCACGGGAGACACACGGCGGGUGCUAACGUCCGUCGUGAAGAGGGAAACAACCCAGACCGCCAGCUAAGGUCCCAAAGUCAUGGUUAAGUGGGAAACGAUGUGGGAAGGCCCAGACAGCCAGGAUGUUGGCUUAGAAGCAGCCAUCAUUUAAAGAAAGCGUAAUAGCUCACUGGUCGAGUCGGCCUGCGCGGAAGAUGUAACGGGGCUAAACCAUGCACCGAAGCUGCGGCAGCGACACUGUGUGUUGUUGGGUAGGGGAGCGUUCUGUAAGCCUGCGAAGGUGGCCUGUGAGGGUUGCUGGAGGUAUCAGAAGUGCGAAUGCUGACAUAAGUAACGAUAAAGCGGGUGAAAAGCCCGCUCGCCGGAAGACCAAGGGUUCCUGUCCAACGUUAAUCGGGGCAGGGUGAGUCGACCCCUAAGGCGAGGCCGAAAGGCGUAGUCGAUGGGAAACGGGUUAAUAUUCCCGUACUUGGUGUUACUGCGAAGGGGGGACGGAGAAGGCUAUGUUGGCCGGGCGACGGUUGUCCCGGUUUAAGCGUGUAGGUGUGUGUUCCAGGUAAAUCCGGUUCACUUUAACACUGAGGCGUGACGACGAGGCACUACGGUGCUGAAGCAACAAAUGCCCUGCUUCCAGGAAAAGCCUCUAAGCAUCAGGUAACAUCAAAUCGUACCCCAAACCGACACAGGUGGUCAGGUAGAGAAUACCAAGGCGCUUGAGAGAACUCGGGUGAAGGAACUAGGCAAAAUGGUGCCGUAACUUCGGGAGAAGGCACGCUGACACGUAGGUGAAGUGAUUUACUCAUGGAGCUGAAGUCAGUCGAAGAUACCAGCUGGCUGCAACUGUUUAUUAAAAACACAGCACUGUGCAAACACGAAAGUGGACGUAUACGGUGUGACGCCUGCCCGGUGCCGGAAGGUUAAUUGAUGGGGUCAGCGCAAGCGAAGCUCCUGAUCGAAGCCCCGGUAAACGGCGGCCGUAACUAUAACGGUCCUAAGGUAGCGAAAUUCCUUGUCGGGUAAGUUCCGACCUGCACGAAUGGCGUAAUGAUGGCCAGGCUGUCUCCACCCGAGACUCAGUGAAAUUGAACUCGCUGUGAAGAUGCAGUGUACCCGCGGCAAGACGGAAAGACCCCGUGAACCUUUACUAUAGCUUGACACUGAACAUUGAGCCUUGAUGUGUAGGAUAGGUGGGAGGCUUUGAAGUGUGGACGCCAGUCUGCAUGGAGCCGACCUUGAAAUACCACCCUUUAAUGUUUGAUGUUCUAACGUGGACCCGUUACCCGGGUUGCGGACAGUGUCUGGUGGGUAGUUUGACUGGGGCGGUCUCCUCCUAAAGAGUAACGGAGGAGCACGAAGGUUGGCUAAUCCUGGUCGGACAUCAGGAGGUUAGUGCAAUGGCAUAAGCCAGCUUGACUGCGAGCGUGACGGCGCGAGCAGGUGCGAAAGCAGGUCAUAGUGAUCCGGUGGUUCUGAAUGGAAGGGCCAUCGCUCAACGGAUAAAAGGUACUCCGGGGAUAACAGGCUGAUACCGCCCAAGAGUUCAUAUCGACGGCGGUGUUUGGCACCUCGAUGUCGGCUCAUCACAUCCUGGGGCUGAAGUAGGUCCCAAGGGUAUGGCUGUUCGCCAUUUAAAGUGGUACGCGAGCUGGGUUUAGAACGUCGUGAGACAGUUCGGUCCCUAUCUGCCGUGGGCGCUGGAGAACUGAGGGGGGCUGCUCCUAGUACGAGAGGACCGGAGUGGACGCAUCACUGGUGUUCGGGUUGUCAUGCCAAUGGCACUGCCCGGUAGCUAAAUGCGGAAGAGAUAAGUGCUGAAAGCAUCUAAGCACGAAACUUGCCCCGA